UUCUCCGGAUGUUUGCUCGCCGCCAUUGUAGACCUACAAUGCUGUUUACAAAUUGUGUUGCAACUAAUCUGAUUUGUUGCUCAGUUCAUAUGGAGCAUACAUUUGGACAGCGCUGUUAUUUCUUCCCGAGAGGCUUUAUAUAAGUGUUUUAAUUAGAAAGUUCAGUCGCUGCUAACCAGCUAGCUCUGGCUCGCUCCACCUCGGCUGUCCUGCCUGCAGCAGGUCUCGGGUUAACAGCGACUGAACUUUUAAAUUUAAAAAUAUAGCAGCUUUUAAUCUUUACGAUUCAACUGAAAAGUAAACCAAGUGCCAAAGUAAAAUCAUCCAUAAUGUAAGAGUUAGAUCGCCCACCCUUUUGUGAACAUAUGUACGUUAGGUAAGCAGCAGACGACGCUGAAGUUAGUUUCCGAUUCGGCAGUGAAGGGGAAAGUGAAGAGGAUUUAACUAAACCCAAUCCUCCGUUUAUUGCACCUCUUACUGCAUCUAGACCACAUAAGACCAGGUCUAGAUCUAAAACCACUGGACCCAGACUUGUCAAAUGUGUUGUAGAUUAAACCCCCGAGAGCCUAAAGACUCUUUAAAAUACAGUUUCUGAUUUGUGAAACCUUUAUUCUAUAACAGUUCACUGUUUUUUUCUGCAUUUGCCGAAUCAGAAGCCAACUUCAGCGUUUUAAGCAGCAGAAGUUUUAAAUGGGUUUUAAAUUAAUGAUGAAUUGAUCUUUUGUUCUUUUCAUAGACAGCAGACAGAGAGUAGUUUGAUUUAAAGUCCUUCUUUCACUUAAAGGGAAACUUUAAAAAAAAUCCUUUCCAGGAUUCCUGAACCUGCAGUUGGAGCUGUGUGAGGCCAGCUCCUCUGAAACUGAUGGGAGGUUCGUGCUUAACUUGCACCUGACUGAGUUAAUCAUGGGACUCCAGAGCCCACCUCAGGCCAGUAGCACCUUAUGGUCCCCUACAACUAGAAAGAAUUGCUGCUGUAAGGGGGCAGAGGAGUUGGCCUUCCUCAUCCAGAAUCUCCACGUCACCCUGGAUGUCCAGUUG